ensembl:snRNA U6 U6 spliceosomal RNA
GCACUCACUUUGGCAGCACAUAUACUAAAAUUAGAAUGAUACAGAGUAGAUUAGCAUGGCCCUUGUGCAAGGCUGUCAUGCAAAUUCAUUAUGCAUUCCAUAUUUUU